AACGGUCUAUACCUGCGGUACCUGCGGAGGGAUCAUUUUUGUAUGGUACUAAAGACACGGUUGGGCUGUGGGGUUGUGUGGUGACCCUCAAGUCAUCCACUCACCCUGCGUCCACCUGCAAACACAUCAACCCUAAAACACCGUUUGUCUGACUCUGAUAACACACAAUCAAACAACUUUCAGCAACGGAUCUCU
rnacentral:misc_RNA from 1 species